GAGAGGCGGGUGAAGCAGGUGCAGGAGCCGGGCGGUGUUGAUUCGGCAGUUUCACUUUGAGUUCUUUCUUUCUGCAUCAAUAAUCUCCUUAUGAUGGAGAAGUGGAAAAGAGGGGGAUAAUUCCAG